rnacentral:snRNA from 1 species
AUCGCUUCUCGGCCUUUUGGCUCAGAUCAAGUGUAGUAUCUGUUCUUAUCAGUUUAAUAUCUGAUACGUCCCCCAUCGGGGGACUACAUAUUAAAUGGAUUUUUCGAACAGGGAGUCGGAAAUGGGGCUUGCUCCGUCCCGCUCCACGCAUCGACCCGGUAUUGCAGUACCUCCGGGAAUGGUGCAACACUU